UACAGAGGGUGCAAGCGUUAAUCGGAAUUACUGGGCGUAAAGCGUGCGUAGACGGUUACAUAAGUCGGGUGUGAAAGCCCCGGGCUCAACCUGGGAAUUGCAGUGGAUACUGGCGAGCUAGAGUGCGGUAGAGGAUGGUGGAAUUCCCGGUGUAGCGGUGAAAUGCGCAGAUAUCAGGAGGAACACCGGUGGCGAAGGCGGUUCUCUGGGCCUGUACUGACGCUGAGGAGCGAAAGCGUGGGGAGCAAACAGG
rnacentral:rRNA from 1 species